GCCAGACUCCUACGGGAGGCAGCAGUGGGGAAUAUUGGGCAAUGGGCGUAAGCCUGACCCAGCAACGCCGCGUGAAGGAAGAAGGCUUUUGGGUUGUAAACUUCUUUUGACAGGGAAGAGCAGAGGACGGUACCUGUCGAAUAAGCCACGGCUAACUACGUGCCAGCAGCCGCGGUAAUACGUAGGUGGCAAGCGUUGUCCGGAUUUACUGGGUGUAAAGGGCGUGUAGCCGGGCUGACAAGUCAGAUGUGAAAUCCCGCGGCUCAACCGCGGAACUGCAUUUGAAACUGUCAGUCUUGAGUACCGGAGAGGUCAUCGGAAUUCCUUGUGUAGCGGUGAAAUGCGUAGAUAUAAGGAAGAACACCAGUGGCGAAGGCGGAUGACUGGACGGCAACUGACGGUGAGGCGCGAAAGCGUGGGGAGCAAACAGGAUUAGAUACCCCUGUA
rnacentral:rRNA from 1 species